rnacentral:rRNA from 1 species
AUGACAUGUGCCUUCACUAGUGGCAAGGUCAUUUUGGAAGCUGCGAUUCUUACCACGGUGGUUGUCUUCAGCCUCAUUGCUUACACCUUCUGGGCUGCAAGGAGGGGCAAGGACUUCAGCUUCCUUGGCCCUUUCCUAUUUGCUUCUCUCAUCAUGCUGCUCGUCUUUGGGUUCAUUCAGCCUCAUCUUUCUACACUCUUCCCGCCGGGCAAGCUGUCUCACAUGAUCUAUGGCGCGCUGGCGUCACUCGUCUUCAGUGGCUACAUUGUCUAUGACACGGACAACAUCAUCAAGCGUUACACGUAUGACGAGUAUGUCUGGGCUGCCGUAUCGCUCUACCUUGACAUCAUCAAUCUGUUCAUGGCACUGAUGAACCUGUUUAGCGCGGGUGAC